rnacentral:rRNA from 1 species
CGAGAAGCGGGCUUCGUCCGUUAGUAAAGCGGCAGACGGAUGAGUAACACGUGGGUAACCUACCUCCGAGUGGGGGAUAACUCAGGGAAACUUGGGCUAAUACCGCAUAACAUCCGGAACCUCUCGGGGAUCCGGAUCGAAGCCGGGGAUCUUCGGACCUGGUGCUUGGAGAUGGGCCCGCGCCUGAUUAGCUUGUUGGUGGGGUAACGGCCACCAAGGCUUCGAUCAGUAGCCGGCCUGAGAGGGUGAUCGGCCACACUGGAACUGAGACACGGUCCAGACUCCUACGGGAGGCAGCAGUGAGGAAUUUUGCGCAAUGGGCGAAAGCCUGACGCAGCGACGCCGCGUGGACGACGAAGGCCUUCGGGUCGUAAAGUCCUGUCGAGAGGGAAGAGCGGGUAAGGGUGAUAACCCCUUGCCUCCGACGGUACCUCUGGAGGAAGCCCCGGCUAACUCCGUGCCAGCAGCCGCGGUAAUACGGAGGGGGCCAGCGUUGUUCGGAAUCAUUGGGCGUAAAGGGCGCGUAGGCGGCUCACAAGUCGGGUGUGAAAUCCCUCGCUUAACCGAGGAACGGCACCCGAUACUGCCGAGCUUGA